CGUAGCUCAGUUGGUUAGAGCACCACCUUGACAUGGUGGGGGUCGUUGGUUCGAAUCCAAUCGAGCCUACCA
rnacentral:tRNA from 1 species